UACGUAGGGCGCAAGCGUUGUCCGGAAUUAUUGGGCGUAAAGAGCUCGUAGGCGGUCCGUCACGUCCGCUGUGAAAACCCAGGGCUCAACCCUGGGCUUGCAGUGGAUACGGGCAGACUAGAGGUAGGUAGGGGAGAAUGGAAUUCCCGGUGUAGCGGUGAAAUGCGCAGAUAUCGGGAGGAACACCGGUGGCGAAGGCGGCAUCCUGGACCGGUAUUGACGCUGAGGCGCGAAAGCUAGGGGAGCAAACGGG
rnacentral:rRNA from 1 species